rnacentral:rRNA from 1 species
UACAGAGGUCUCAAGCGUUGUUCGGAUUCAUUGGGCGUAAGGGUGCGUAGGUGGCGCCGUAAGUCAGGUGUGAAAUUUCGGAGCUCAACUCCGAAACUGCAUUCGAUACUGCGGUGCUUGAGGACUGGAGAGGAGACUGGAAUUCAUGGUGUAGCAGUGAAAUGCGUAGAGAUCAUGAGGAAGACCAGUGGCGAAGGCGGGUCUCUGGACAGUUCCUGACACUGAGACACGAAGGCCAGGGGAGCAAACGGG